rnacentral:rRNA from 1 species
CCUACGGGGGGCAGCAGUGAGGAAUAUUGGUCAAUGGACGAGAGUCUGAACCAGCCAAGUAGCGUGAAGGAUGACUGCCCUAUGGGUUGUAAACUUCUUUUAUAUGGGAAUAAAAUGUUCCACGUGUGGGAUUUUGUAUGUACCAUAUGAAUAAGGAUCGGCUAACUCCGUGCCAGCAGCCGCGGUAAUACGGAGGAUCCGAGCGUUAUCCGGAUUUAUUGGGUUUAACGGGAGCGUAGGUGGAGUGUUAAGUCAGUUGUGAAAGUUUGCGGCUCAACCGUAAAAUUGCAGUUGAAACUGGCAGUCUUGAGUACAGUAGAGGUGGGCGGAAUUCGUGGUGUAGCGGUGAAAUGCUUAGAUAUCACGAAGAACUCCGAUUGCGAAGGCAGUUCACUGGACUGCAACUGACACUGAGGCUCGAAAGUGUGGGUAUCAAACAGGAUUAGAUACCCUUGUAGUC